rnacentral:rRNA from 1 species
CAGCCGCCGCGGGAAUACGGAUGGUGCAAGCGUUAUCCGGAUUUAUUGGGUUUAAAGGGUCCGUAGGCGGACUUAUAAGUCAGUGGUGAAAGCCUGUCGCUUAACGAUAGAACUGCCAUUGAUACUGUAAGUCUUGAGUAUAUUUGAGGUAGCUGGAAUAAGUAGUGUAGCGGUGAAAUGCAUAGAUAUUACUUAGAACACCAAUUGCGAAGGCAGGUUACCAAGAUAUAACUGACGCUGAGGGACGAAAGCGUGGGUAGCGAACAGGAUUAGAUACCCCCGUAGUCCCUGUCUCUUAUAC